GAUGAAGAACGCAGCGAAAUGUGAUAAGUAAUGUGAAUUGCAGAAUUCAGUGAAUCAUCGAAUCUUUGAACGCACAUUGCGCCCGCCAGCACUCUGGCGGGCAUGCCUGUUCGAGCGUCAUUUCAACCAUCAAGCCCCCAGGGGCUUGUGCUGGGGCCCUGCGGCUGCCCGCAGGCCCUGAAAACCAGUGGCGGGCUCGCUAGUCACACCGAGCGCAGUAGCACAUCUCGCUCAGGGCGUGCGGCGGGCUCCUGCCGUGAAACCCCCCACUGUAACCCCAAAGGUUGACCUCGGAUCAGGAAGGAAUACCCGCUGAACUUAAGCAUAUCAAUAAGCGGAGGA
rnacentral:misc_RNA from 1 species